UCCCUGGUGGCUCAGACGGUAAAGCGUCUGCCUGUAAUUUGGGAGACCCAGGUUCGAUCCCUGGGUCGGGAA
rnacentral:tRNA from 1 species